ensembl:misc_RNA Metazoa_SRP Metazoan signal recognition particle RNA
GCUAGGUUUGGUGGCACACGCUUGUAAUCCCAGCUACUCCGGAGGCUGAAGUGCGAGGGUCACUUGAACCCCAGGAGUUCUGGGCUGUAGUGCGGUAUGCCCAUCCAGCAUCCGCAGUAAGUUCAUCAUCAAUAUGGCGACCUCCGGGAGUGGAGUGGAGGGCUGCCUAAGGUGGAGUGAACUGUCCCAGAAACAGAGCAGGUUAAAACUCAUGUGUUGAUCAGUAGUGGGAUCGCACCUAUGAAUAGCCACCUCACUCCAGCCUAGGCAACAUAACAGGACCCUAGUCUCAA